rnacentral:ncRNA from 2 species
AGGUAGCAUUCGCGUUCCGGUUCGAAAAGAUAAAAAAGGGAAUCCAGUGAAACUCUGGAGCUGACGCGCAGCGGUAAAGACAGGUGGGACGAGCGCAUUCGUGCAGACACUGCUUAAUAAAGUGGGAAGUCUUCGUCCAGUAAAACGCCUCCAAGCCCGAAGACCUGCCGGAAUACGUCGCAAUUA